UCCAAUUGCGAGCGUUGACGGUGCAUGGACAUGGAAUCCAAAAGCUGCCCGAAUUCUCACCCCACUCUCCUGAUUCAUGGUACAUCGCAUAUGGUCACUCCUCUUCUUCUCCUCUUUGGCACGACACCGACGGAAACACUUUGAUUUCCUCAUUUCCUCUCUCGCUAUCUCUCCCUCGCUCCCUCCCCACCCCCCUUCCUCUCUGACAUUUUCUCUUCGAUGGCACAGACCGAACUGCGGGAGAAGCAAAGGAACGCACCGGAAUCCCCUCAGAAUUACGACAUCGUGUGGGAGGAAAUGGAAAGUCAUAGGAAGAAGAGAAAGAGGAGGAAGCGAAAGAGAGUAAUUGUCAAAGAUGUUGAAGAAAAGAAGAGAGAAGAAGAAGGGGUUCUGCGAAGGGACCCACUCGAGGUGUUCGGUACGGACAUGAUGUCGAUGAUACUGAGUAACCUCGACGCACGCAGCGUGGCACUGUCUCUUCUCGUCUCCCGUGGUUGGCACGGGUCGCUUCCAGUGAUCGCAUAUGGGGCCCCAAGUUGGAGGAACUGUGGGUUGGGAAAGCACACAUACCUCGCCUGUCACAAAUCCGGGGAUUAUCCAAACUGACCGCUUAUUCAUUAGCUGUCAGGGAUGGCAAGCGUAACCGUAUCAGGAAGGAUGAUUUGUGUGAUCAUGUUUGGGAGUUUCAUUUUAACAAGGGGGCACCUGAAUAUUGGCGAAAUCUUGAUCCUUAUUGGAAGGGCACUGGCCUUCCGAUGCGCCGCUACUUCCACCCAGACGGGAGCCAAAGCGCAGAUCCUGAUGAUAAGGUAUGGGGUGGUCAUGAGUGCUGCUACUUGACUGUCACUAGCAUUGUUGGCGAAGACAAAAUCAGGGAACACUAUGUGAGGAUAAACCGAUGGCCUCGAAUGUCUGUGUCUAGGAAGCAGGACUGGAGCUGGGAAUUAUCAAACUGCCUUUAUUCUUACUCCAGCAUCCCCGAUGCUGAUAGGGAAGGUGGUACUGGGCCACUAUCUGGACUUGUGUAGUUUUUUUUUUUUUUUUUUUUACUUGUAAAUUAACCUUUAGGGCUUGCCGGUUAUCUGAGUUGGGGAAUAUUAUGUAUGUUUGGCAGAGCUAAUAAAUUAUUCCAAAAUGUAAAUGUGUCUCUAGUGACCCAGUUAUGGCUGGUUACAGCUUUUUUAGGUAUGUUCAAUAUCACAUUUCUCCCUCUUUUAUUCUUCCAA